UAAAUAGAGUAAGGCUGUUGAAAUCGGAGCUCUCUCAGUGAAUGGACGGUGCAAGCAAACGUGGUGGGCCAGCCCAGGGAUAGGUGGCGUCCGUUUUGGGUUUGGCCGGUGCUUCGUGGCCAGCGCACUGCAGGUUCCUUGUGAGAACGAAACGAUUUCUCCUCUCCCUCCCCAGUCUCAAGCGCAACUCCUCCCGGCCCUAGGUUUUCGCCGCCGCCCCUCACCUCGCCGCCGUCCCUCACCUCGCCGCCAUCCCCGUCUUUCUACUCCUCAGUCGCUCAAGCCUCCCGUCGCUCUCCCUCGAAUUCCAGUCGCUGUACAACUCCUCGACCACCCCAUCUUGCCCCCACGUCCACCUCCGCCUCUCUGCUCGAUCGAGCAGUCAAUGGGGAGGAACAGCGACGGAGAGCAGGCCUCCUCGAUUAGUUUCCCGUGGUUAAGGCUUACAGUCCUCUCCUACUGGUCUGGCAUGGCCAUAAAAGAAAAUCCAGUAUGGGCGACGGCAGGCCUCCGUACCGGAACAUCCAGGUGCCGCUGCACCGCUUCGCGCCGCUGAAGCAGUCGUGGUCGGAGAUCUACACGCCCGUCUACGAGCACAUGAAGGUUGUAAUCUGCAUGCUCCUCAAGGUCAGUACAUUGGCUCGGUUUGCUCUUGGUUCUUCAAAUCAGACAGCGUUCGAUUCAAUUAGUGGCUGUUCCAUGCCCGUGGCAGCCUUUGCCAGUGGUAUGAUCGAUUGGAUAAAUGGUUCAGAAUAUGUAACUUGGUUGUAUUCAUUGGCGGGGAUGCAUCAUCACUCCAAAUUAUCAAGGUAUCUUCCCAAACAAAGUGUGAGCCACCAAGAUAAGUUAAUGGCGCUAAGAAAACCAGAGAAAUUAUCAGAUGCAUCCUUCAGACAUAUGAGUUGGACCACCACAUCAACGUUGUUAGUCCAAGUUCCAACAAAUAUGCGCAUCCCUUUUCGUUGCUGCUGUGCCCCUGUGUGACCAGAUGCAGCACGGUACCGAGAUGAGGCAAAGUCAUCCUUCUGUUCUGGCAAGGCGACUGACAUCCCACGGCACCCAGGUUCCUCGGCCGACACCGCGGUGUAUAGGAGGAUGGAGCGAGACAGUGGCCGCAUGCUGCGGCACAACAGCUAUGCUGUAGAGCGCGGCGAGGAGCACCUACUCCUGGUGGUCGACGUGAAGUGUAGUAGGCUAUCUUGUGAAAACUAAUAAUGUUUAUCUCUGUCUAACAUGGACAUAUUUGUAGCAUUUGCAUCAGUGGAUGGUUCGCUAGGUAGAUAUAAUGCUUCUUCGGUUCAGAAAACUAAAGUAGAGAACAAUUCAAUGCAUUGUAGAGACAUAUAACAUUCCGUGGCCUACUGUGUUCCAUAGGAUCAUGCACAAAAAUCAGGUGUUGUCUCUCAACCUCUUGGGUGUAUUAUGUUGCACCCUUGAAGCACCAUUUCCUUCCAAAACACCAAAAAGAUGCAUAUGAUUAGAAAAGAGCUCUUUUAUUACUUAUCCUUUGCCUAUAGCUUUUUUGUCCGCAUGGUAAAUUCCCUGAUCAUAGUUUCUAUUAAUUCCCUAAUUUAUUUGAUUUUAUUGACUCUGAAGUUAACUGUAUUUACUGCAUGGACCCGCUUGACCUUGAGUAAGUGACCAUCUCAUAUUAGGUUUGAAUGGAACUUCAUUUAUCUUUCAGCAGUUUUUCAAAUUUGUCUACAAGUUGUUUGAUGGUAAUAGUCCAAGCAAGCUGCAAGUGCGAAUGUAUAUACAUAAUUUUUUUGCUCGGUCAAUAUAUUUUCUAAGAACUUGCUUCAUCUGAUAAGAGCGAAUUAGUGUUAUUAACAUUUCAUAAUAAUGGAAUUGAAGGAAAUAAAAAAUAAGUCCAUUCCAAUUCAUAUUGACUUGCUGACACUUCUAGGAAGGAAGUGUGUCAUUGUUUACUAUGGUUUUGCAGAAUCAGAGAUUUUAUCCAUCCUAUAAUUGCAUUAGCAUUCAAGCCAAUCUGGCCAUUAAUCCUAUUCUUAGAUUAUUUUGCAGUUUUAUGCAUGCUCCUUAAUGACGUAUGCAUGAAGUUUUUUGCUGUUUUUUUUGUUAUGCAUGCAACUAGAUAUGGAGAUAGGGCAUAACUACAUGUGAUUGCACGUAGAUAACUUUGACCCAAAAAAGGCUGCUGAUUUCUUUUGAGAUGAAAUGUUGAUAUAAUUAAAGCAUCUUUCAUGAACCAGCAGUAUGAACAUUUUUAUUCACACAUUUCAAACUUGAUUAAUUCUAAAGUAGACAUUAUUAUCCUUUUACUGAAUAAUAAUACGAAAUAUUAAUAUAAAUUAUCUACGUAGCUACAAAUUGUUCACCAUAUAAGUUUAUGUUUAUCCAAAAUCUGCUCGGAACGACUUUAAGAUAAUUUUGUUCUUUUAUGUCCGAGUUAGAUCUAAUUAUCAAUUUUUAUAAAUUUAUAGUUUAUAUAUUUGGUUUAUGGUUUACUUUACAAAGCUAAAAUAUAACAUUUCACUUCUUUUUAUCGAGUGUCACACUAGAUAGUUCGAUCAGAAAACUUCGGGUGAAACUAUACCGUCCUUUGAAUCAAAACCACUCCAGGCCAACUAAGUAUCAAUUCUUUAGUAAGUGCAAUACGGUUGCUUCGACGUUCCUCCUAUGCAACGGCGGUGCUUUAAUUGGAGCAAAGCUUUAUGAUUCAGGCGCAAUUUUUGGUCGGUUGUGCCAUGGAGGUGGCCACCAAUCUAUCUCAUGAUGGUGGCCGUGUAGUAAGGUAUCGGACCUUUGUCGAUCGCUUUUGUGCAGUAGCAUUCUGGUCACUCGAGCCACAAGAUUGUGUAAUUAAUAAUUUCAUUUAUUCCCGACGCAAUUUCAUGUGAGAGUCAAUAAUUUUAUUUGUCGUUAAUGAAAUUCAUUUUUGUAGUCUUAUUUAGACAACUCUCUUUUCACAGAACUGGUUAGCCAAUCAGGUUUCACGAAUGGUUGGCGAUGGUACCAUGGAGCGGAGACUUAACAUAAUUUCUUUACUAUGUACAUGCCAAAGAUUUUCUCUCAAAGUGUGGCUCUUCAGUCUGCAUCAUGUUAACUGGUAUGUUUUCUUGUUUCUAAUGCUGCAGAACUUAAACUAAUCUUUCUUCCUUACAGUUUUAUCCAAUUAUCCGUAUUUUAUAUGCAUUGGUCUUAGUUGAUUCCAGUUUUUAUUAUGGUCUUAUUUAACCUAAUAAUUGUUGUGCAUUUUCAAAGGUUUCGCCGUGCCUCUGGCAUUGUGCCUCCACUUUACUCUAUUAACACGGUGAGUGUACCAAAUAUAAAAUAGAGUAGAGAAAUAGCUACCUGCGAUCAGAAAGUUAUCAGCAAGUUCCAACAUUUUUUACUUCUACGUUUAGGCUGAAAUUAGCAUGAAGCACAUUUUCCCUUUGAAAAAAUUACAUAUCACUGGAGAUGUCUUCAUAGUUUUCUGGUUCCUCGCUGCAGCGCAAAAGUUAAAUAAUUCUUUUACAUUUUUUCGGUACAUUUGAGUGGAGAACCCAUAUUGUUUAUAUGUUGGCAUGUGAGAUAUGUAGAUUUUAAGCUAUGAUAUAGCUGAGUAUAUGCUGGAAGUUGUUUUGAGGGAACUGAAAUUUUAGUAGUCUUAAGAUCGGCCUUUAUACUUUAUUAUUACUUCCCACCGUAUGUGCUAUGUGUCACUUACAUUUUUUUAUGAACUGUUAUAGGUCACAUGCUGUGCUCAAGUUGGUUGAUCGCCUCUUUUGUCGCAGAUUUUUGUUUAUUGAUCAGUGUACUCUACUGCUAUGAGGCUUCGUCUUCUGGUUGUAUUUACAGUGUGUCUAGAAUAAGAUACAAUGGUGUAAUGCAUUUGUAUACCUAUCCCUACCAUACUACUUGUGGUGUACAUUUCUCAAUCUAUAAAAUAUUCAUGCCUACAUUGUA